AGAAACGCCUGGUGUUCACUACGCAUACACCCGAAGAGGCAGGUAAUGAAAAGCAUGAUAUUAACCUGUGCCAUAAAAUGAGUUACUUCUGUGGGCUGA
rnacentral:misc_RNA from 1 species